rnacentral:rRNA from 1 species
AAUCAACGCUGGCGGCGUGCCUCAGACAUGCAAGUCGAACGAUUAAAGCUCCCUUCGGGGAGUGUAUAGAGUGGCGCACGGGUGAGUAACACGUAAGUAAUCUACCCUCGAGUGGGGAAUAACGUCCGGAAACGGACGCUAAUACCGCAUAAUGCAGCGGCACCGCAAGGUGACAGUUGUUAAAGAUUUAUCGCUUGAGGAGGAGCUUGCGGCAGAUUAGCUAGUUGGUAAGGUAAUGGCUUACCAAGGCUACGAUCUGUAACCGGUCUAAGAGGACGGUCGGUCACACUGACACUGAAUAACGGGUCAGACUCCUACGGGAGGCAGCAGUCGGGAAUUUUGGGCAAUGGGCGAAAGCCUGACCCAGCAACGCCGCGUGAAGGAUGAAGUAUUUCGGUAUGUAAACUUCGAAAGAAUGGGAAGAAUCAAUGACGGUACCAUUUAUAAGGUCCGGCUAACUACGUGCCAGCAGCCGCCGUAAAAC